AUGCAUAAGCUCGUAAAUGUUCAUUAUUUGGACAAGACGACAUUUAUGCUUGGAAAUGACGAUGAAGGGAAAGAGGCUAUGGUUUUUGACACAAGUCCAAGCUUUGAUGAUCUUGUAGUUAAAAUGAGAAGUGUCUUACAUUGGAAUGACCUAAAUGCCGAGGUUAAGCUUAUUGGGAGGUACGCCGUUGGAUUGGGAGUGAAGUCCCGAUUAAAGAGUAUGGCCAUCACCUCCCAAUUUCAUUGGAAUCUGUACAAGGACAAAGUAGACGCAUCACAAGACAAGUCUCUUGAGAUCUUUGCCACAAAGGUUGAUCCUCCUCCUCCCUUGCAAAUUGAUUUGAACCGCAAUGCAUCCUCCCCAAUACAUGAUGAUAGCGCCGAGGUGUAUAUCCCCAAUUGUUCUAGCCAACCACCAAGUAGCCAACCCAAUGAAGAUCAUAUCAAUGCUAGCGCCAUAGUACUCCGGCAUGAUGCUAUUCCUCAUGUUGAAGAAGAUGAUAGUGGUCAUGUUGAUGAUGAUGCUAUUGUUGCUCAAGAGGAUGCUUACGUGGAGGAUGAAGAGAUUCAUUACAAUCCAAUUGGUAACUUGGAUAUCAUUCUGCAGUGA
rnacentral:rRNA from 1 species